AUCCAGCUGACGAGUCCUAAAUAGGACGAAGAACGCGUCAAACUGGAU
rnacentral:hammerhead_ribozyme from 1 species